rnacentral:pre_miRNA from 1 species
ACAUUCAGUUCUCCUGGGGAUCUUGUUACAACACACAUUCUGAUUCGGUAGGUGGGACAUGAGAUUCUGCAUUUCUAACAGGCUCCCAUUUGCUGCUGAU